rnacentral:lncRNA from 1 species
GGGGAUUUACAGAGGUUUUUGACCAUGUAUGUGGCCUUCGUUGAAAACCAGAAUUGGAAUGAGAUGUAUUUAAAGAAACCCAUCACCAGAAUAUUUAUUAUUACAUUUUGAUCUAAUUUGGAACAUUUUCCCAUAGGCUUGAUAGAAGAAAAAGAGCCAGAAGUCUUUGGAGAACACGAUGGGUAAAGGAAAUAGAUGACCCUCCAUUCAUUCCGUCGGGAAGCGAGAAGGCGUUUGAACACUGGGCCCACAUGCCUGGGUUCAUAUCCCAGCUCGGUCAGGGACGGGGCCUUGGGACUUUCGUUUUUAUCCGGCCUCCUUUGAGAUUCUUCCACCUCCUGAGUUUGAGAGCCUCUGGGUUGUUCAGGCUGCCUGGUAUCUGUUUAUUCUGCACUGCCCACAAAGCCACGCUGUCCUGCAACGGCCUGUGGGAGAGCGAGAGUCUUCUCAGGGCUUCCCGAGGAAGAGAAUGAUUUUUAGGUAAACCAACCAAGCCCAAAACCUGAUAACACCGAACGUCACAUGCUGACAGCUCUUUGGAAAACCUUUCCCCUUGGAAUCUACACUUUGACUGAGCUUUCAAACCAGAAGUUCAUCUUACCCAGGAAAGAGUGAGUAAUUUGCUUUCUUUCUCUUAUUUUAUUUUAUUUUUUAAAUUUUAUUUUACCUUACCUUAACUUAUCUUAUCCUAUCCUAUUCUGUUUUUCUUUUUAUGGCUGCACCUGGCAUCAUAUGGUAGUUCCCAGGCUAGGGGUCAAAUCAGAGCUGCAGCCACAGCAACGCCACAUCUGAGCCUCAUCUGUGACCCGCGCUGCAGCUUGUGGCAAUGCCAGAUCCUUAACCCGCUGAGUGAGGCCGGGGAUUGACGCCCCAUCCUCACAGACACUAUGUCAGGUUCUUAACCUACUGAGCCACAAUGCGUAUAAUUUGCUUUCUUAAUGUUAUAAUGCUGACAUGGAUGAUCCUGGAUUUGUCAGGAAUAAGAUAAUUGAGCAAAAGAUGAACGAACCAGGGGAUUUAAAAAAGUAACCUAAAAAACCAAAACGCAGCAAAAAAAAAAAGAAGCCACUGCUAGCAGGUAGUUGGGUGCAUCUGAAAACUGCUCUUGCUUCUUUCUGGGAGGGUUGAAAUGGUACCCAAAUCCAUCAGAGAAGAAUGCCAGCGGCCCACACAGAUAGAUCUAGAACAUGUGGUUUCCAGUCCUGCAGGUUCUCUAGCUGGACGUCACUCUGGAGUCAGAGAAGGGCAGAAUCGGAAGGAUCCGGUGAGAGACGGGGUUCCAGAGACUUCUUGAUAAGGAAGCUGAGACUCCCACCAGCGAGGGGCUGGCUAGCUUUAGAACCAGCACCAGGGCCCAUUUCCUUGUGGUCUUGAUGUGCCACCUUGGUGUGAACAUCACUGGUGGCCAUCCCAGCCUCCGUGUGGACCCACGACUCUCCACCUGUCUGUGCCGAGAGGUGCCAGGAUUUCUGA